GCAAACCCUAGCCAUCACUCACACUGCAUUACGCUCCUCUCUUCUGUCCUUUGCUCCUCUCCUCUCCUCUCUUCGACUCUAUCUCUCUCAAACAAUUUCCUCUCACGAAAUCAUCACUGCCGACCUGCCACCACCACCUCCUACCGCUGAGCCCCUCACCGACAACGCUCAGAUCCUCCCCUCUCAAUCUCGACGUCACAAAAGCAGUGAGUCGUCGCCGUCUUUGCCAUCAGAGCAUCCAAGCCUCUGCGCCACUUCUCAGUCUUCGUCGUCUUCGCCGUUAGAGUGUCCGAGCCUCUACGCCGCUUCUCAGCCGUCGCCGAUCUUCACCGAUCUCCGACCCUCUUUUCUUCCUUCUGAUAGGAUUCAAGUAAAUUGGAAUCUACAUCACUACCAUUACAACUAUUACAAGAUGAAGAAGGCUUGAGAAUUAUUGAGAAUUACGUUUCUUUGAUAUG